rnacentral:rRNA from 1 species
AACGAACGCUGGCGGCAGGCUUAACACAUGCAAGUCGAGCGCCCCGCCAGGGGAGCGGCAGACGGGUGGGUAACGCGUGGGAACGUACCCUUAUCUUCGGGAUAGCUCCGGGAUACUGGAAUUAUUACCGAAUGUGACCUUUGGGGGUACGAUUUAACGGCUAAGGAUGGGCCCGCGUGGGCUUAGCUAGUUGGUGGGGUAAAGGCCUACCAAGGCGACGAUCCAUAGCUGGUCUGAGAGGAUGACCAGCCACAUUGAGAGUGAGACACAGCCCAAACUCCUACGGGAGGCAGCAGUGGGUAAUAUUGGACAAUGGGCGCAGUGCUGAUCCAGCCAUGCCGCUUGAGUGAUUAAGUCCUUAGAGAUGUAAAGCACUUUCACCGGAGAAGAUAAUGACGGUACCCGGAGAAGAAGCCCCGGCUAACUUCGUG